AUUGAACGCUGGCGGCAGGCCUAACACAUGCAAGUCGAGCGGAUGAAGGGAGCUUGCUCCUGGAUUCAGCGGCGGACGGGUGAGUACUGCCUAGGAAUCUGCCUGGUAGUGGGGGAUAACGUCCGGAAACGGGCGCUAAUACCGCAUACGUCCUGAGGGAGAAAGUGGGGGUGCUUCGGACCUCACGCUAUCAGUUGAGCCUAGGUCGGUUUACCUAGUUGGUGGGGUAUAGGCCUACCAAGGCGACGAUCCGUAACUGGUCUGAGAGGAUGAUCAGUCACUGUGGAACUGAGACACGGUCCUGACACUUACGGGAGGCAGCAGUGGGGAAUAGUGGAAGCUGGGCGGAAGCCUGCUCCAGCCAUGCCGGGUGUGUGAAGAAGGUCUUCGGAGUGUAAAGCACUUUAAGUGGGGAGGAAGGGCAGUAAGUUAAUACCUUGCUGUUGUGACGUUACCAACAGAAUAAGCACCGGCUAACUUCGUG
rnacentral:rRNA from 1 species